rnacentral:rRNA from 1 species
CACGUAGGCACCAAGCGUUGUCCGGAUUUAUUGGGCGUAAAGAGCUCGUAGGCGGUUUGUCGCGUCUGCUGUGAAAACUCGGGGCUUAACUCCGGGCCUGCAGUGGGUACGGGCAGACUAGAGUGCGGUAGGGGAGACUGGAAUUCCUGGUGUAGCGGUGAAAUGCGCAGAUAUCAGGAGGAACACCAAUAGCGAAGGCAGCUCGCUGGGACGGUAUUGACGCUGAGGCGCGAAAGCGUGGGGAGCGAACAGG